UUCUCAAGAUCACAUCAAAAUAUUUGUAUUUAUUCAUCCGGUGUCAUUCCAACAGCAAAACUAACCGAAAAGCAGAGUUUUCCACCAAUGUCAAGCGAGAUAACAAAUUGGACGCUUUCUUAGCAAAACCUCACAUUUUACUUAAACUUCACAUGACGUCACCGCCACCACAUAAGACAUUUCUAAACUUUCUGCCUGUAACGACAUGUGCAGGUCGAGUCCUAAGAACACACGGAUCCGCCAGUUCAAAUUAACCAAGAUGGCGUGAGGCUUGUUGUUUAGAGGGCAGAAAAAAUGGAGGAUAUUGUAAUAUACACAAAGGGAUAAAUUUCAACAACUCGGCCAGGCGGCAGCUGCUGCUCUUUAAGGAAGCAACAAAGAUAAGAGCACCGCGAAGCUCCAACUCAACACCAGCGACCCGCUCCGACCGAGCAGGCGAUUUCCCCAUCGAAAAUACGAAACCGUCUGCAUUUAACAGCUUUUAUCAAAAGGAUUUGUAAAGUAAAUGCUUUUAUCAUGUUGUCUCAAUGAAGAGCUGUUAGCUUUUGCCAUCAUCUGAGAGACGGACAUUAAACAGACCAAAGAGAUGAAGCCUGGCAAAAGGGAUGCUUAUGGAGGGACAUGGACAGGCAGGCAGACCUCCAGGGAUCAGCGCUCCGGAGAGUGGGAGGACAAGAUGAGAUGAUGGUGUGCAAGUCGUGUGUCUGAACAUGUGUGCAUACGGUCCAUGUUUAUCUGUGAUCAUCAGACCACCCUGGCCACAGUGCAUCAUCCCUAUGUGGGGAAAGUCUUAAUAUGGUGGCGAUGAGGUAAACAGAUAGGAAGUGAUGGAGUGGCAGACCCACGGGGGAUAACCACAUGAGGGGUGACAGACCACUGACAUCAGCCCUUGUUCUCUUGCUCGCUCGCUCUCUCCAUCUCUCUCUUCGCCACACACACACUCAUUUCCAGGAAGGGGUCAUUAAUGUGAGGGAAAAAAACAAAUCCAGUCAUGGCUUUAAAAUGGAGUAUCUUCUCAUAGAGAUGCAAUCAUUCCUAACGGGUCUGAGUCAGGCUGAAGAGAACAGCACAAAGAAGCUUUUAAUUCCUCCAUUUAGGAGACAAAAUACAUCAUUUUAUCAUUAAAGCACUGUUUGGAGGGGAAAUGGGUACUUUUUAGAUUUUAUUUGAGAGUGGCUCUCUUAUGUUGUAGCAGGGUUCAACUUAACCUGACCAAUAAACCGAGAAAAUUA